rnacentral:rRNA from 1 species
GACGAACGCUGGCGGCGUGCUUAACACAUGCAAGUCGAGCGGAAAGGCUCCUUCGGGGGUACUCGAGCGGCGAACGGGUGAGUAACACGUGAGUAAUCUGCCCUUGGCUUCGGGAUAGCCACCGGAAACGGUGAUUAAUACCGGAUACGACAACUUCUCGCAUGGGAUGGUUGUGGAAAGUUUUUUCGGCCAGGGAUGUGCUCGCGGCCUAUCAGCUUGAUGGUGAGGUAAUGGCUCACCAUGGCUUCGACGGGUAGCCGGCCUGAGAGGGUGACCGGUCACACUGGGACUGAGACACGGCCCAGACUCCUACGGGAGGCAGCAGUGGGGAAUAUUGGACAAUGGGCGGAAGCCUGAUCCAGCAACGCCGCGUGAGGGAUGACGGCCUUCGGGUUGUAAACCUCUUUCGGUAGGGACGAAGCGCAAGUGACGGUACCUACUAAAGAAGCACCGGCCAACUACGUGCCAGCCGCCGCCGUAA